GACGAACGCUGGCGGCGUGCUUAACACAUGCAAGUCGAACGGAAAGGCCCUGCUUUUGUGGGGUGCUCGAGUGGCGAACGGGUGAGUAACACGUGAGUAACCUGCCCUUGACUUUGGGAUAACUUCAGGAAACUGGGGCUAAUACCGGAUAGGAGCUCCUGCUGCAUGGUGGGGGGUGGAAAGUUUCGGCGGGUGGGGAUGGACUCGCGGCUUAUCAGCUUGUUGGUGGGGUAGUGGCUUACCAAGGCUUUGACGGGUAGCCGGCCUGAGAGGGUGACCGGCCACAUUGGGACUGAGAUACGGCCCAGACUCCUACGGGAGGCAGCAGUGGGGAAUAUUGCACAAUGGGCGGAAGCCUGAUGCAGCAACGCCGCGUGCGGGAUGACGGCCUUCGGGUUGUAAACCGCUUUCGCCUGUGACGAAGCGUGAGUGACGGUAAUGGGUAAAGAAGCACCGGCUAACUACGUG
rnacentral:rRNA from 1 species